rnacentral:SRP_RNA from 1 species
UAAUCGGGUCCUUGCAAUACUGGGCCGUGAAUCAGGUCAGGUCCGAAAGGAAGCAGCCUUAAACGCAACCCGGUAUGUGCGGAGGACCCCAUUAUCG